CCACAUUGGGACUGAGAUACGGCCCAGACUCCUACGGGAGGCAGCAGUGGGGAAUAUUGCACAAUGGGCGCAAGCCUGAUGCAGCGACGCCGCGUGAGGGAUGGAGGCCUUCGGGUUGUAAACCUCUUUUAUCGGGGAGCAAGCGAGAGUGAGUUUACCCGUUGAAUAAGCACCGGCUAACUACGUGCCAGCAGCCGCGGUAAUACGUAGGGUGCAAGCGUUAUCCGGAAUUAUUGGGCGUAAAGGGCUCGUAGGCGGUUCGUCGCGUCCGGUGUGAAAGUCCAUCGCUUAACGGUGGAUCCGCGCCGGGUACGGGCGGGCUUGAGUGCGGUAGGGGAGACUGGAAUUCCCGGUGUAACGGUGGAAUGUGUAGAUAUCGGGAAGAACACCAAUGGCGAAGGCAGGUCUCUGGGCCGUUACUGACGCUGAGGAGCGAAAGCGUGGGGAGCGAACAGGAUUAGAUACCCUGGUAGUCCACGCCGUAAACGGUGGAUGCUGGAUGUGGGGCCCGUUCCACGGGUUCCGUGUCGGAGCUAACGCGUUAAGCAUCCCGCCUGGGGAGUACGGCCGCAAGGCUAAAACUCAAAGAAAUUGACGGGGGCCCGCACAAGCGGCGGAGCAUGCGGAUUAAUUCGAUGCAACGCGAAGAACCUUACCUGGGCUUGACAUGUUCCCGACGGUCGUAGAGAUACGGCUUCCCUUCGGGGCGGGUUCACAGGUGGUGCAUGGUCGUCGUCAGCUCGUGUCGUGAGAUGUUGGGUUAAGUCCCGCAACGAGCGCAACCCU
rnacentral:rRNA from 1 species